GUCGAGAAGCUUCGGCAAUGGGCGAAAGCCUGACCGAGCGACGCCGCGUGAGCGAAGAAGGCCCUAUGGGUUGUAAAGCUCUGUCAGAUUGGGAAGAAAACCCCGCGGUUAAUACCUGCGGGGCUUGACGGUACCAUCAGAGGAAGCACCGGCUAACCCCGUGCCAGCAGCCGCGGUAAUACGGGGGGUGCGAGCGUUGUUCGGAUUCACUGGGUAUAAAGGGUGCGCAGGCGGACUGGUAAGUCAGAGGUGAAAUUUGUCGGCUCAACCGACAGACUGCCCCUGAAACUGCCAGUCUUGAGUCCGGGAGAGGUAGGUGGAAUUCCAGGUGUAGCGGUGAAAUGCGUAAAUAUCUGGAGGAACACCGGUGGCGAAGGCGGCCUACUGGCCCGGAACUGACGCUCAGGCACGAAAGCUAGGGGAGCGAACGGGAUUAGAAACCCCUGUAGUCC
rnacentral:rRNA from 1 species